rnacentral:rRNA from 1 species
GGCCUACNCUGNNNNAAANGGGUAACGGGGAAUUAGGGUUCGAUUCCGGAGAGGGAGCCUGAGAAACGGCUACCACAUCCAAGGAAGGCAGCAGGCGCGCAAAUUACCCAAUCCCGACACGGGGAGGUAGUGACAAUAAAUAACAACACAGGGCUCCUUUGGGUCUUGUUAUUGGAAUGAGUACGAUUUAAAUCUCCUAACGAGGAACAAUUGGAGGGCAAGUCUGGUGCCAGCAGCCGCGGUAAUUCCAGCUCCAAUAGCGUAUAUUAAAGUUGUUGCAGUUAAAAAGCUCGUAGUUGAAUUUCGGGAUUAGUACGUUGGUCGUGCCUUCGGUACGUACUGGUGUUACUGGUUCCUACCUUCUGACGAACCAUCAUGUCAUUAAUUUGGUGUGGCGGGGAAUCAGGACUGUUACUUUGAAAAAAUUAGAGUGUUUAAAGCAGGCUCGCGCUUGAAUACAUUAGCAUGGAAUAAUGAAAUAGGACGUUGACCCUAUUUUGUUGGUUUCUAGGAUUGACGUAAUGAUUAAUAGGGAUAGUUGGGGGCAUUAGUAUUCAAUUGUCAGAGGUGAAAUUCUUGGAUUUAUUGAAGACUAACUACUGCGAAAGCAUUUGCCAAGGAUGUUUUCAUUAAUCAAGAACGAAAGUUAGGGGAUCGAAGACGGUCAGAUACCGUCGUAGUCUUAACCAUAAACUAUGCCGACUAGGGAUCGGAUGAUGUUAAUUUUUUAAUGACUCAUUCGGCGCCUUACGGGAAACCAAAGUGUUUGGGUUC